rnacentral:rRNA from 1 species
GAUGAACGCUGGCGGCGUGCCUAACACAUGCAAGUCGAGCGCGUCUGAUUUGAUGCUUGCAUUAAUGAAAGAUGAGCGGCGGACGGGUGAGUAACGCGUGGGUAACCUGCCCUAUACACAUGGAUAACAUACUGAAAAGUUUACUAAUACAUGAUAAUAUAUAUUUACGGCAUCGUAGAUAUAUCAAAGUGUUAGCGGUAUAGGAUGGACCCGCGUCUGAUUAGCUAGUUGGUGAGAUAACUGCCCACCAAGGCGACGAUCAGUAGCCGACCUGAGAGGGUGAUCGGCCACAUUGGAACUGAGACACGGUCCAAACUCCUACGGGAGGCAGCAGUGGUGAAUAUUGCACUAUGGGCGCAAGCCUGAUGCAGCAACUCCGCGUGAACGAUGAAGGUGUUCUGAUCGUAAAGUUUUGUUGCAGGGGUGGAUAAUGACGGUUCCCUGUGAGGUAGCCCCUUCUUUUACUUGCCAGCAGCCGCGGUAAUUCGUAGUGGGCUAUCGUUAUCCGGAUUACUGGGGGGAUAUGUGGGGUGGGUGUCUUUCAAGUCUUGUGGUUUAGGGUGACUGCUCUUCCUUGAUUUGCAUUGGAAACUGGAAGUUUUGUGGUCAUGAGAGGGAAUUGUAAUGGUGGUGUAGUGGUUAUGUUGCGUUGUUGUGUGGUGGAUCAUCUGUAUCUGGUGGUUUUUCUGAUGGUGUUUUGUGUGUGGUGUGGAUGGGUUGUGUCUGUUUGUGUAUUGU